rnacentral:rRNA from 1 species
AAACGUAGGACGCAAGCGUUAUCCGGAAUUACUGGGCGUAAAGGGCGUGCAGGCGGUUCUUUAAGUUAGGCGUGAAAGCUCCGGGCUAAACCUGGAGAGGUCGUCUGAUACUGGGGAACUAGAGUGUGGUAGAGGGGUGUAGAAUUCCGGGUGUAGUGGUGAAAUGCGUAGAUAUCCGGAGGAAUACCAGUGGCGAAGGCGGCACCCUGGGCCAUAACUGACGCUAAGACGCGAAAGCAUGGGUAGCGAACGGGAUUAGAAACCCCGGUAGUCCAUGCCGUAAACGAUGUGGACUCGGUGUUCUGACAGGGAAGCCUGUUGGAGUGCCCCAGCAAGCGCGGUAAGUGCACCGCCUGGGGAGUACGGUCGCAAGGCUAAA